UAGAGGAUGAGGAUGAGGAGUGGUUGUGGGAGCGGAGCAUGGCAGUGACAGGAAUCAGAUUUCCCAGCAGUUUGACUGUAGAGAGGGGAGGAGAGGGGCUGGGCCUGAUUUCCCUUCAGACACUCCCAGUGUUUUAAGGCUCUGAGCUCAGCCAGCAGUCUCUGGACUCCCCUCAGAGUGCAGGACCAGCGUGUCUGCACACCUCCCUAGACUCUCUGUCUCUUCUCCUCCCAGGGGAGAGUGUCUCCUGAAGACUACCCACCUCUGGAAGUCUGACUUAUAAUAUCACUGGUGAGAUCUGUACUUUGGCAGCAUAUUUCCACUGGCAUGUGUCAAGGAUAGAAAUGGAUCCUGAAGGUGCACGUAUCCAAGAUGAUCCAGAUGUGAAGGUGAUGAUAGCAGGAUCAACUCUGAGGAAAGUCAAGUCUCGUUCCUGGAAGAAACAGCGGCAUUUCCGGCUUCUGGAGGAUGGCCUGACAAUCUGGUACAAGUCAAGAUGGGCGGGGAGAGGUCACUCCACUUGUAAGUAUAGAAGAAUGUAUUUAUCUUUGCUUAGAUGAAUGUACGAACAUAUUAGCCCUUUGUUUAGUCA